ensembl:lncRNA
AAAUAGGACCAUGGGCCUGAGAACAUGGUGACUCCAGCCUUGUGAGAGGAAUCAGAGGACCCAGACGAGUUACACUGUAACCAGACUUCGGAACCAGCCAGGGAGUGAACCCAUGUCCCCUGCAUUGCAAGGUGGAUUCUUAACCACUGGAACCACCUGGUAGAGAAAUAGACAACCAUUAGAAUCCAGAAUCCAGACCUGAACAGCCAGAAGACGCCACCUGGCUCAUCACCCAGCGUGGGCUCCAUCUGCUUGCUCACUCCUGGGA